rnacentral:rRNA from 1 species
CCUACGGGAGGCUGCAGUGGGGAAUAUUGCACAAUGGGGGAAACCCUGAUGCAGCGACGCCGCGUGAGUGAAGAAGUAUUUCGGUACGUAAAGCUCUAUCAGCAGGGAAGAAAAUGACGGUACCUGACUAAGAAGCCCCGGCUAACUACGUGCCAGCAGCCGCGGUAAUACGUAGGGGGCAAGCGUUAUCCGGAUUUACUGGGUGUAAAGGGAGCGUAGACGGCAGCGCAAGUCUGGAGUGAAAUCCCAUGGCUUAACCAUGGAACUGCUUUGGAAACUGUGCAGCUAGAGUGCAGGAGAGGUAAGCGGAAUUCCUAGUGUAGCGGUGAAAUGCGUAGAUAUUAGGAGGUACACCAGUGGCGAAGGCGGCUUACUGGACUGUAACUGACGUUGAGGCUCGAAAGCGUGGGGAGCAAACAGGAUUAGAUACCCUGGUAGUC